AACGAACGCUGGCGGCAGGCCUAACACAUGCAAGUCGAGCGCUCUAGCAAUAGGGAGCGGCGCACGGGUGAGUAACGCGUAGGAAUCUACCUUGUAGUACGGAACAACCGUUGGAAACGACUGCUAAUACCGUAUACGCCCUUCGGGGGAAAGAAUUUCGCUAUAAGAUGAGCCUGCGUUAGAUUAGCUAGUUGGUGAGGUAAUGGCUCACCAAGGCUCCGAUCUAUAGCUGGUCUGAGAGGAUGAUCAGCCACACUGGGACUGAGACACGGCCCAGACUCCUACGGGAGGCAGCAGUGGGGAAUAUUGGGCAAUGGGCGCAAGCCUGACCCAGCCAUGCCGCGUGAGUGAUGACGGCCUUAGGGUUGUAAAGCUCUUUUAGUGGUGAGGAUGAUGACGGUAACCACAGAAAAAGCCCCGGCUAACUUCGUGCCAGCCGCCGCCGUAA
rnacentral:rRNA from 1 species